UCCCCCGGGCGCAUCCGGUCAGCUCGGAUCGGUGCGCCGGAGUGGGAACAGAAAGCAGAGCGGCAGGGGGGACGGGGAACGAGGUGGAAAUGGAAAAUAUCGUCGCGCGAGGCAGGCUGCGGCACAAGGGAUCGCGGCGGCUUUCGGGGAGCACAGACUGCAGUGUUCCGGGAGGGAGGAGGGAAUCUGCCCCGUGUGCGGGUGCAGGAGACCUGUGAUUGCCCGGAGCGCCCCCGUGCUGCUCUGCCCAGGAGCAGGCGCAGUGAUAACUGAUCGCCCUGUCAACAGCCGCGGACGCGUCCUUGCUUUGCCCGCUGAAGGGCAAAGCUGAUGCACCGGCUCUUCCCAAGUGCGCAUGCGUGUUCAUGGCCGUUCAUAGCUGUUUUCACGGCUCAAGCGGGAGCCUGCACUGGAUGGCGCACGCACCCUGGGUCUCUAUCAAUCAUGCUUUUACGCUGCGACCGCUCUCGCACAGCAGCGCUGAGCCGUGAGUUGCUGUGCGUGGCCGCUGGGAGAGAGCGGCGGAGCGUCGAUCCUUGCUCCUUCCCUGAGUGUUGGCCGCACAGUGGCCUGUAGUGCUUAUUCCAAAUGCGCAUGCGUACUUUCGGCAUUCUUCGUGUCGUCAGUCGCUGUAACCAUGCUCUCAUCGAUGAUCCGCGCUGUGCCAACGUCCACUGAUUCGCCGGACGCAUGCGCAAAUCGACUAUAUCGAUGUUCGAGAGGUUGUGACUGCAGCGCAUGGGCACUGAGGGACAUCGAUUGACUUUGAUGGGCAAACCCUAUUAGACACCUCUCCCCAAGUGCGAAUGCGUCUUCGUUGUCUCUUUCGAUGUUUUGUCUCGUGAGUGCGAUCAGUUGCUCACGGUCCUACGCAUGUGUACUUGCGGAUUUGGGAAACGAUGUGUCGCCUGUUCCCAAAUACGCAAGUGUGGUCAGGACAUUUCAUCGAUGUGUUCGUCACGCGACUGGGAGCCUGCCCAGUAUAGCACACGCGUACUGGGCCUCCCCCAGUAUCAAUACGUAUGCUCCUUCUCAAUGCACAUACGUAUAGACACUUGCGCCCUGAUAGUUUCGGCGGUUGACAUGUCGUCACUUCCUCUGUAACCGUGGAAACUGAUCCAUGACUCCUCUGGCAGUGUCCGCUCCGCUAAUUCUGAGGACGCAUGCGCCAAUCCUGAACAUCGGUGAUCGAUAUUUUUUGACUGCACCCUAUGCGCACGCGCAAAUUCCAUUUAUAUCGAUGAGUUUGGUGUUGUGAACAGCCCAUUUGCUGGCGCAUGCGUAUUUGCUUUGCCCAUGGAAGGGAAAUGCCUUGGCCCGCUUGUUCUGAAGUGCGCAUGAAUAUGCAUGGCAGCUCAUCGAUAUGUUCGUCGCGCAACUGAGCGCCUUAGCUCUAAAGCGCAUGUGCACUGGGUCUUUGCCCGUGAUUGCUUAACGUGGCGGCCACUGUCGUGCACAGGGGUACCGCGCCCACGGUGGCUGCGGCUUCGGGCCCGGGAUGAGAGGGGAGGAGGCGUCCAUGCCCUUCCCCCGAGUAUUAACUUGGCGGGUGGGGGACGGGAAUGUAACGCUUAUUGCAGUGCACACGGAGAGCCGCGCCUCGAUUUGCGUCGCUGCUCGUCCUGUCCUCAGUGCCUGUGUAACCCGGGAAACCAUCAGUGAUUUCGACAGGAGGAAACAGUCCCUUCCUAGGACACGUGCGCAUCCGGCUUCAAGAGUCCUCCGGCCGCAUGCGUACUUGCCUCGUCCGUUAAGCAAACGUUAUGCGUCGUUUUGGUCGCCCUGUAGUGCGCAUGCGCACUGAGUCAUCACUAGGCCCCGGCGUGGCUUCGGCCGCGCCCCGCCAGUGACGAUAGAGGGGACAUCCCUGCCUCUCCCCCUAGGAUUGUCCCCAUGUAGGGGGGGGGGGGGGCUUCUAGUCCUCCUUUCCUACACGCAUGCGCACUACGUGCCAAACUCGUCGAUGCUGUUCCGCGCAUGCGUGCAUCGAUACUUUUGGCUUCCUUGCCAGCUCCGCCGCCAGUGGUGGAUUUAGGAAUUCAUUUAGACACGGGGCACAGACUGAGCAGUGCAGCAUCUCAUUGAAAACAACCCGCAUUUUUCUCCAGGAAAAAUACACUGGAAGCUUUAUUAACAUGUGGGGGGGAGGGCUAGGGCUGUAUCAUUUAGGAUAAGCUUGAAGCAACAACUAAGAUAGUGUCAGUGGAAGGAGUUGAAAGUCAUGCACAGGCUGUGAAGCAGGAUCUCCAGGCCCAGGCACAGCACAGGCCGCAGACCCGCACACACAGGCCAGCUCCAGAGCACCAAGACCGUGAGAAGAAGAGCGGGCCCCUUGCAGCGGCAGCAGGAGCAGUCAGGGGUCCGGGCGAGGGGCUGAACCACGACACCCGGGGCUGCAGCAUUGCCCCAGCAGAAAUGCAGCUACCCCAGCCGGGCAGGUGGUUUGACACAGUGCAACACGACUAGCAGUGGGGGCCGAGGUGACCACAGCCCUCCUUGCACCCGUCGACCAGGGACUUUUUUUGUUGUUGUUGGGGUUUUUUUGUUUUUCAGGGAAUGAGAUUUUUUUUUUGAGGAAAGCUGGUCAUUGUGGAUGGUGAUAUAGGGCUUUUUUUGGGAAUAUGGUAAUCUUGUGUGGAAAACUGGUGGUUUGGGAACUGUUAGUGGAAAUUCAUAGGUUUUUUGUGUGGAAAAUGGUGUGGUUGUCUUAGCGUGAUCUGGGAACUUUUUUGUGCAACUGUUUUGUGGGGCUGGUGGAGAAGGGUGCGGCGAUCGGGUACGUAGGGGAAUACGGUCUUUUGUUGUGGGGGGUUGAGAAAUCUUUUUUGUAGCAAUAUGUGUAUACAACUGGUGAUACUUGUGUGGUGAUUUGGGAACUUUCAAUUGAAAUGUGCUUUGUUUGGCCCGUGAGGUCCCCUUAUCCCCUGUGGUGCGGUUAAGGAUGCGUGUGUUUUCACUCACGUGAAACAGUCUAAAGCGGGUCUGCCCUUUCUCACAGGUGCCUUCUCGUGCCCCCGUCCUUGGAGACCGCGUGUCAGCGAGGAGCCGCAGCGUGACAGAAGCGGGGCUUGGGGCAGAAGGGCCCUGUCGUAUCUGCAAGGGUCACUCCGGGCACUCAGACAGGUGUGCGGGGCCUGCACUGGUCCCUUGGAAACAGCCGAGGCCCCACGGGUGACAGACCUCUGAUCAUUUGUGUGGCCUGCCUUUGGACUCUUUCCACCUUCUCGACAUCUCUCCUGGAAGAGAGACACAGAACUGAACACAGAUCUCGCCCAGAACUGAACACAGUCCUCCAGGUGCAGCCUCACCAAUGCUGAGUUGAGCGGGAGGGUGACAUCCUCAGUCUUGCUUGUGAUGCAUCGGUUGAUGCAUGCCAGAGUGUUUUUCACUUUGCCAGGCACAGGAUUGCAUUGGUGACUCAUGUUCAUUUUGUGGUUGAUCAUAACCCCUGGAUCUUUUUCAGUUCUGGUGAAUGGAAAACCUGGAUCCCCGCUGAUUACCCCUUUUGUAUAUGAAGUGAGGUCACAAUGACAUUCCCUAGUGAUACUCCAGUCCCUCUUAGCAGGUAAAAGAUUACAACACCCCAGGUCGGAUAAAGAGGCAAGAGACAGGACAAUAACCUGCCCUUACCUUGAUUACACCUCAAAGCAUGAGAACAGGCACAUUUUUUCUAUACCUGCCUUGUGACCUGCCAAAAGACAGAUAUAGAUUCUCACCUCUACCAUGAGGGGGGGAUGCAGGAGGGAGGAGGAGGAUAACAGCAGGUCAUUUCCACUUUGCAAAGGUCUUUGUACAGCUUCCCUUUAUUUACAUGUAAUAUUUAUAUGUGGGUUUGUAUAAUCAGUACUAGCCACUUGCCCAUCAAGAAUGGCAGGGGGGAGAGGGGGCUCGGAUGGAGUGCCGCCACCUAACGCCCAAUGCUGCCACUGUUCCGCCUCUUGCAGGGAGCCGGGUGGGGACCUUGGCUCCCUCACCCUCUGUCCAGUCCUCUGUGUGGCUUUGGAAUCAUGGUGGUGCUCCCCCACGCGUGGAGCGCUCUCUUUCUGUCAGCCAAUCCGAGCGUUAAUAAAGUGUUAUGGACAGACA